rnacentral:rRNA from 1 species
AGUGAACGCUGGCGGUAGGCCUAACACAUGCAAGUCGAACGGCAGCACAGUAAGAGCUUGCUCUUACGGGUGGCGAGUGGCGGACGGGUGAGGAAUACAUCGGAAUCUACUUUUUCGUGGGGGAUAACGUAGGGAAACUUACGCUAAUACCGCAUACGACCUACGGGUGAAAGCAGGGGAUCUUCGGACCUUUCGCGAUUGAAUGAGCCGAUGUCGGAUUAGCGAGUUGGCGGGGGAAUGGCCCACCCAGGCGACGAUCCGUAGCUGGUCUGAGAGGAUGAUCAGCCACACUGGAACUGAGACACGGUCCAGACUCCUACGGGAGGCAGCAGUGGGGAAUAUUGGACAAUGGGCGCAAGCCUGAUCCAGCCAUACCGCGUGGGUGAAGAAGGCCUUCGGGUUGUAAAGCCCUUUUGUUGGGAAAGAAAAGCAGCAGGUUAAUACCCCGCUGUUCUGACGGUACCCAAAGAAUAAGCACCGGCUAACUUCGUG